AAAAAAAGAAGCCGUAAGGAGCGACCGGCUCACUCUAAGUAUGAACGCCAAGCGUAUUGCAUAAAGCUUGGUGUUCUACCUUACAGUGAACUGUACGUUCUCUAUCAUCAAUGGAAGAAA
rnacentral:precursor_RNA from 12 species